GACGAACGCUGGCGGCGUGCCUAAUACAUGCAAGUCGAACGCAGUGGGUACCGGUGAGUAACACGUGGUUAACCUCCCAUCACAGGGGGUAACACUUGGAAACAGGUGCUAAACCGAUAUUUAUGGAUGGACCCGCGGUGCAUUAGGUGGUGGGUGUGGUAACGGCUCACAAAGGCCACGAUGCAUAGCCGACCUGAGAGGUUGAUCGGCCAAACUGGGACUGAGACACGGUCCAGACUCCUACGGGAGGAAGCAGUAGGGAAUCUUCGGCAAUGGGCGAAAGUCUGACCGAGCAACGCCGCGUGAGUGAAGAAGGUUUUCGGAUCGUAAAACUCUGUUGUUAGGGAAGCGGUAUCUAACCAGAAAGCCACGGCUAACUACGUGCCAGCAGCCGCGGUAAUUC
rnacentral:rRNA from 1 species